UUCGGUGGCUAUGUCGAAGGGGUCAUACCCGAUCCCAUCCCGAACUCGGAAGUCAAGCCCUUCAGAGCCGAUGGUACUGCAGGGGUAGCCCUGUGGGAGAGUAGGACGCCGCCGGAU
rnacentral:rRNA from 1 species